AACAGGAUUAGAUACCCUGGUAGUCCACGCCCUAAACGAUGAAUACUCGAUGUUGGCGAUAUACAGUCAGCGUCAAAGCGAAAGCGUUAAGUAUUCCACCUGGGGAGUACGCCCGCAAGGGUGAAACUCAAAGGAAUUGACGGGGGCCCGCACAAGCGGAGGAGCAUGUGGUUUAAUUCGAUGAUACGCGAGGAACCUUACCCGGGCUUGAAAGUUAGUGAAUGAUCCAGAGACGGAUCAGUCCUUCGGGACACGAAACUAGGUGCUGCAUGGCUGUCGUCAGCUCGUGCCGUGAGGUGUUGGGUUAAGUCCCGCAACGAGCGCAACCCCUGUGUUUAGUUGCCAGCACGUAAAGGUGGGGACUCUAAACAGACUGCCUAUGCAAAUAGAGAGGAAGGAGGGGACGACGUCAAGUCAUCAUGGCCCUUACGUCCGGGGCUACACACGUGCUACAAUGGGCAGUACAGAGGGCAGCUACCUGGCAACAGGAUGCCAAUCUCAAAAAGCUGUUCACAGUUCGGAUCGGGGUCUGCAACUCGACCCCGUGAAGUUGGAUUCGCUAGUAAUCGCAGAUCAGCAAUGCUGCGGUGAAUACGUUCCCGGGCCUUGUACACACCGCCCGUCAAGCCAUGGAAGCUGGGGGUGCCUGAAGUGCGUAACCGCAAGGAGCGUCCUAGGGUAAAACCGGUAACUGGGGCUAAGUCGUAACAAGGUAGCCGUA
rnacentral:rRNA from 1 species